rnacentral:rRNA from 1 species
CACGUAGGGCGCAAGCGUUGUCCGGAAUUAUUGGGCGUAAAGAGCUCGUAGGCGGUCUGUUACGUCUGCUGUGAAAACCCAGGGCUUAACCCUGGGCUUGCAGUGGAUACGGGCAGACUAGAGGCAGGUAGGGGAGAAUGGAAUUCCCGGUGUAGCGGUGAAAUGCGCAGAUAUCAGGAGGAACACCCAUGGCGAAGGCAGCUCUCUGGCCUCACCCUGACGCUGAGGAGCGAAAGCGUGGGGAGCAAACAGG